GUCUCGUGGGAGACCUACACUGGAGCAGCUUGUGUCAGAAGGACUGAACCUUGUGGAAGGAGCACACUCUGGAGCAGAUCAGGAAAAUCUGCAGCCCCUGGGAAACACUCAGUGAGCCGUGUGGGUGUCUCUCUCAGUGGAAGCUGACAAUUUGAUGAUACUUCAUCAGUGUAGGACCCUGCUGAGAAGUAGAUUGAGACAAAGAAAAUGCCUCUCAUCACUGGAACAAAUAAGAAAUCAGAUUUUCUAAAUUACUGCUAGGCAGAUAGUCUCUCAGGAGACCAUGAAUGAACAGUGUAGCACUAUCAACAUUAGUUCUGGUGCAUGGAAGAAACCUGCCCUCCAUCUUCAUGGCGUGGUGCUUGGAUCUUGCUGACCCAAAACCCACCGAUCUCUUGCAUUUUUCUAUAGCUUUGCUGUACUCUCUUCAGUUCCUCCUUGGAUGCCAAGUCCUGAAUAGCCCACAGUACAAGUUACAGCUUGUGAUGUCCAACUGACUUUUACUGUCAUCAACAGACUGAUAUUUGUUUAAUGUAGUGAAAUGAAUGCCUCUCCUAGCUGUUUGGAAAGCAAAUCCCUCUUUACCCUCCAGCGCCUAUUUGCUGUACUUGAGUGAGCCUGGUAAAAUUCUUGGGUUAUAAUUUAGUGCUGCUGUGUUUGUGCAGAACUAACAGGAUUUCUUAAGGCCUCUUUGAGUUUUUUAAGCCAAGGAACUACUCUUUUCCUUGAUGGAGCUCUCCACGGCCUUAACAGCAUUGCACACACAGAUCUUCAAACAGGGACAGCAAGCAAACAGCAUAUUACCUGCAACAACAGGUACUGCUGAGCAUAAUGAUACGCUGAGAUAGGACCUUACUGAGCUUUCUGAAGUUCCCCACAACACAGUCAUAUUGCACCUUUUAUGUCUGUGCUGAGGUUCACCCUGGCUGGACACGAGGUGCCACCAAAGCUGCUCUGUCACUGCUCUCCAAAGCAGGACAGUGGGAAGAAAAUGUAACAAAAGGCUUGUGGGUUAAGGACAGGGAGAAAUCACUCACCAAUCAGUGUCAUGGACAAAUCAUUUAAUAAUUUUUCAUUUAGGAAGUAUAAUGACUGCAUACAUGAACCAGCAUCAAUAUUUAUGCUAAAAUAUGUGUUGUUUGUAUAUGAAACAUUAUACAUCUUAAUUGAGAUUAUUUCCUUUUGAAGAACUCUUUCUGGAAAUGAGUACAGCCUGCUGGGCAUUCCAGUUGUUAAAUGAAAAACAUGCUAGGAGACCACCACAACAUUGGCCGACAUUUAACAACUUGCUGUACCUCCAGAGUAUAACUGACAGCUAUUCUAGAGAGCCCACUGGUGCCAUAUAUGAAAGUAAAUCAUGCUUCGAUUAUUCCAUCUUAUAGCUCACUGCAGCACAGGGAACAUGCUUUCCCAGCAGCUGUUAUCAGCUUACUUGGAAUUCUUGACCAAUAUCAUUGAAAGCCUAAUAUGAUAACAAAGGCUACAAAUUAUUUCCACAGUAUGUUAAAGUUGAGACAGUGAGCUGUAAAAUAAAGAGAAAUCUCUCUAUUAGAUAGACCUGUCUCAAAGUCACUUUUUCCUUUAGAAAUCAUGAUCUACACAGUUUCAUAAAUCGAUGAAAGGAUCUUGACCAUUAAACUUAAUUGAUACUGAAUUUAGACGCAUGAACUUAAAUCAUUUUGCCAUUUUCUUUCACAGUUUUUGGCAUUACAUUUCUCCCCAUCACUGUAUGAAGUGAAAAUAUCACAUGCACUGAGGAGGUAAGAUUAGCAUGUACAAAAGAUGAAGCAGUGCGAGAAGCGACAUCUGGGGCAAUGCAAAAAGAUGUUUCAAAGACUGUAAACAGGCAGAAGCAAAAACAGAAAAUAAAACCUGACUUUUAAGUAAAAUUAGCAACAACUUGGAUUUAUAUAGUGCUCCAUAUGUUCUAGAUGAAUAACA